CGAACGGGGAGAUUCAUCGUCAGCGGACGCCGGCUUCGCGUCGGUCGGCGAUGUCCCGCGGGGGCCCUCGCGGCUCUCAGCGCGGGCACGCUGCCGUGCGCCGAUGUAUCCGGCUUCGCCGUCGUGCACUUCUCCCCUGGUAGAACGUCGCGACCCGCUGGGUGUCGGUCUACGGCCCGGGUGCGGUGUCUGACGCGCCGCCGGUAAAACGGCGCGCGUCAAACCCCCGGUCGCCCGGCCGGCUGCCCGGCGGUACGCGCAAGGUAUCAGGCCGCACACACGUUUGAACGGUGCGUCGAGGCCGUCGCAAGCGCGCGCCACGGUACACGGAGGUACGGACCUAGCGCCGUCACCGGUCCUGGCCCGCUGUUGGUCGUACGGUUAACCUUCGACAGGCCUACGAACGUCCCAGCGUUGGGGGUCGCGGGGGCUCGUCUCCCGCUCUCUCUCGCGUUGGC
rnacentral:rRNA from 1 species